UUGCACAUUUCAUUGACCUGCUUUCUAUUGUGUAUGUGAGCAGUGUUAUUUCUUAUGUGCUAUACAAAUAGCUGAAGGGUUAAUUAGCAGUAUAACUAAAUAGUAAUACUGUCAGUCUUCUUCAAACAAUA
rnacentral:snoRNA from 1 species